rnacentral:rRNA from 1 species
UACAGAGGGGGCCAGCGUUAUUCGGAAUUAUUGGGCGUAAAGGGCGCGUAGGCGGCUUUGCGUGUCUUUCGUGGAAUCCCUCGGCUCAACUGAGGACGUGCGGAAGAAACUGCAGGGCUGGAGUCCGGGAGAGGAGGGUGGAAUUCUCGGUGUAGCGGUGAAAUGCGUAGAUAUCGAGAGGAACACCUGCGGCGAAGGCGGGUUGCUGGGCCGACACUGACGCUGAUGCGCGAAAGCCAGGGGAGCGAACGGG